UACGUAGGGGGCAAGCGUUGUCCGGAAUCAUUGGGCGUAAAGAGCGUGUAGGCGGCCCGAUAAGUCCGCUGUGAAAGUCCAGGGCUCAACCCUGGGAUGCCGGUGGAUACUGUCGGGCUCGAGUCCGGAAGAGGAGAGUGGAAUUCCUGGUGUAGCGGUGAAAUGCGCGAGAUAUCAGGAAGAACACCCGUGGCGAAGGCGGCUCUCUGGGACGUGACUGACGCUGAGGAGGCGAAAGCGUGGGGAGCGAACAGG
rnacentral:rRNA from 1 species